GCAGAAGUGCCGAGUCCCGGCCGGGGGCAGCCUCGCCGCCGCUCAGCUCGGGAAUCCCUGCCCCCCACCAGCACCUCAGUGGGGGAUACUGCAAGUUCAAGGUGGUUUAAGGCGUGAAUGAAUGAAGGAGCAAGCAGUAAGCCCCGACAGCAAGGCCACCACAGCCCUCGCCCCACAGGGACGCCUGAGCAAGGACCCAAGCAGGGGACAAGCAGGCUCACCCCGCCCUUGCGGGGCUGACCACGAGGCCCCGUCCGGUGGAACACGCCAUGACGCUUCAGGAGGCUCAUGUAGCUGGCGCCGUAUGGGACAGCGGGGGAGAGAGAAAAUGCACAGCCCAGGGAAUGUGGAGACAGGCCCAGCGCCAGGCAUGGGGGCCGGAAGGAGCAGCCGGGGAGCAGGGGGCAGGGCCUGGAGUCCCGCCUUGCAGAUCUGAACCUGCCCCAGCCCCAGGACUCUGAGUGCAGCAAGAGGGGAGCCGGGCUGGAGAGUGGGGAGCACGGAGACUGUGGCCUGGAUGGUGCCAGAGCAAACAGGAGAGAGGCUGCCCAACGCAGAGGCUGCAGCACAGACCAGAGGGUCCCGGGGCUGACUGGGUGGGGGCAGCUCCCAGCGAGAGGCCCCUGGGAUUUGGGUAAGUAGAGGCACAUGCAGACUCUGGCCACAGGGCACCUCGCGCACGAGGGGAGUUCACCACACAAGCUGAGCGGAGGGCGGACGCAGGAGAGCAGCGGUUUCUCGGAAGCCAAGGGCGGUCAUGGAGCCCCACGCCACAGCGCUUCCCACGGGGCCACACCAUCCGGUCUGCGGAGGGGGCUGCAUUGCCGGGAAGGACCAUCUGAUUCUGGAUUCCAGCCUCACCCUGGGCCACCGCUGAGUGUCCCAAGUGGCCCCUUAGCCCCCAGGGCCAGGCGGCAUCCCAAUCCCCUAGGGAUGUCUGUGCUCAGAAUGUGGCACACACGCCCCGGCAGGGCCAUCCUCCUCCUCCUGCACCCGCCACAGCCGUGGAUUCGGGGUCUCUAUCGUGGGCAGAAAUUCACACAGUCAAGGACGGGCUGAGGGAGGCGCCUCACCAGUGCCAGCGCCCAGCAUCACUGUGCCCCGGUGGAGGGGGAGGCCCUUCCGAGCCUGGGCCUGGGUGUGGAUGAGGGCAGGUCUCUCACCUCUCUGACCUCAGCUUCCUCAACUGGGAAGGGGGGCCACAGCACCCCCUUAGGGGUGAUGAGGAAGUGGGAGCUCAGGGAGGACCCCGGGCAGGGCUGCCUCCUCACCUCUCUUCGGCCUUUGGACACUGGAGCUCAGAGGACCAAGUGAAUGAAUGAAUGACUCGAUCAAUCAACUGAUCCAUGAAUCCAUGGACCCCUGAACAGCUGGACAGCUGGGCUGUGGGCAGGACAGGGGACUCUGGCUGAAGCCGCGUUCAUAUGUGUUCAGCUUUAGGCCUCCACUGUGCCCGGACCAGCGGCCCACUCAGUGAGUCGAGUGUGCACCUGGCACCCCUCUUUCUGGAAAUCCACGAACAAUGGGCUCCCAGCAGAGGACUGAGGCUGAGCAGGCCACUUCCCUGGAGCUGACCCCACAGCUGUGUAGGUACAGGGUGGCCGUGAACACUUAGGGCUCUCUCGGGCUGUGCGCUUCUUGUUCACUGCAAGGAGCAGGGUGUUGGCUCCUGACCAAGCCCUGUCACUGCUGCCCAGCCACACGUGGGGCCCCUUCACCCACCCCUGACCACCUCAUGCAGGUGAAGCCACUGUGGAAACAGCCUGGCAGUCCCUUGAAAAAUGAAGUCAUAAACCCCAGCAAUUGCACUCCUGGGCCUCUGACAGAGCUUGCACGUCCCCUCCAAAGCUCGUGUUAAGCUGUGAGCCCCAGUGCCGGAGGUGGGGCCUGGUGUGUUUGGGUUCUGGGGGUGGAUCCCUCAUGGCUGGGUGCCAUGAACCCACUCACCACAGUGAGUUCUCACGAGAUCUGGUUGUUGAGAAGUGUGUCAUACCUCCCCCACAACUCUCUGUCUUUUGUUCCGGCUCUGGCAAUGUAACAAGCCUGCUCCUCCUUCGCCUUCUGCCAUGACUGUAAGCUUUCUGAGGGCUGACCAGAAGCCCAGCAGAUGCCAGCACCAUGCUUCCUAUACAGCCUGCAGAACCGUGAGCCAGCUAAACCUCUCCUCAUAAAUCACCGAGCCCCAGGUUUAUCUUUACAGCAAUGCAAGACCUGACUAAUACAGCACCAGCUCCCCAAAAUAAAAAGAAAUAUUCAAACAAAUAAGCGCACAGAAGUGUUCCCAGCAGCACUAUUCACAGCAGCCAAAAGGCGGAGGAGCCACAGGCUUGUCAGCUGAUGACAGAUAAAGAAAGCAUGGCCUGUCAUCCCAGCACUUUGGGAGGCCGAGGUGGGUGGAUCACCUGAGGUUGGGAGUUCAAGACCAGCCUGGCCAACAUGGUGAAACCCAGUCUCUACUAAAAAUAUAAAAAUUAGCUGGGUGUGAUGAUGAGCGCCUGUAGUCCCAGCUACUUGGAAGGCUGAGGAACAAGAAUCGCUUGAACCCGGGAGGCAGAGGUCGCAGUGAACCGAGAUC
rnacentral:lncRNA from 1 species